rnacentral:rRNA from 1 species
CAGCAGCCACGGUAAUACGUAGGUGGCGAGCGUUGUCCGGAAUUAUUGGGCGUAAAGGGAGCGCAGGCGGACAUAUAAGUCCAUCUUAAAAGUGCGGGGCUCAACCCCGUGAGGGGAUGGAAACUGUAUGCCUUGAGUGCAGGGGAGGAAAGCGGAAUUCCCAGUGUAGCGGUGAAAUGCGUAGAUAUUGGGAGGAACACCAGUGGCGAAAGCGGCUCUCUGGCUUGUAACUGACGCUGAGGCUCGAAAGCGUGGGGCGCAAACAGGAUUAGAUACCCGGGUAGUCCCUGUCUCUUAUACA